AAUAAACAGAGCGUGUGGAAAAAACCAAAAAAAAGGGCUUUAACCCUUUCCUCCGAAACGCAACACGCAUGCACGCGCACGAUAACGACUCGCGCUGUCGUUUAAAGAGGAAGUCGCGCGCUUCUGCGUUCUGUCGCGCUCUCCGUUUGGAAACCCCCGCCCUCUUUCAAGGGGGAGACCCGAUGUUUAGCGCGCCGUCGUGCCUUUGUGAACUCACACAUGGGCAUCCCGCACAGCCACACGUUUUCUGACCAAACGGCAGAUCACCUCUGAACUACCAUGUGCUGACUCGAGGCUCAACCCGACCUGGCCUGUGCAGCUAUUGUUCAAUUACACCGACAUCUCGGCGGGCCCAAGACCAGCUAAUGCCGGUAUUUGGCAAGUAGCUAUUCUGAGAUUGUUGGGUCUCAGGCCUGGUCAUCUUUGCAAAUCUCUUUGUCAAAAAAUACGUGCAAGUCACCGUUUAGUUGGCAGUUUUUAAAAUGCCAAACUAUAAAAGGUAGCAUUAAGCUACCAUUAAGACCAAAAGAAUAUGGAAGGGUAUUAGAUUUAGCGUGAAAUAAACAUGAAUGAACAUCAGAAGGCAUCUUGUUUUAGCCUUGGAAAGAUAUCAAUGCUUCGUUUUUCAUAUCUCACAACUUUUUUUUUCUCAAAAUGUUGACUUGCAAAGUACAACCUUAAAACUGUGAAAAAUGAAUUAACUCCAAAGAAAUAAGUCAGUACUGCGAGAUGUUUACUUGCAAUUGUGAGUCAGCUCAGGUAUAAAAAGGCAUAAACUCUUGACCUGAAUAAAUUUACAUUUCAAUAAUUCAACAAUUUAAACAAUAAAAGUCAAAAUUUCAAGAUGUGAGUUCAGUAUUCUUGGAUAUCAACUCAAAACUGAAAAAAAAGUGUAUACUUUUGUUCAGAAACAAAAACUUGGCAAUAAAACCCACAAUUAUUCAUAUUUUUCUAUAUACCUUUCCGUGUAUUUUUCCGUGGCAGAAACGGGCAUAUCUUUCAGAGUCUACAUUUAUAAAUCGCAAUAUGCUCAACUAAUUUCACGAAACCUUAUUUGGUGGUUAAUAUUGAAACGAGUGGACUGAAUCGAAGCCCAGGUAAACACAGCAGAGCAGGCCUAGCCGUCAUUCACUGCAAAAAUCCAGCUUGACCGAGAAUAAUACAAAUUUUAGCGGCGGCGAUGAAUCACAACCUCACUAUGUCUGUCCUCACUCCGCCCACAAGGCUUGAGGAGAUUUCAUGCGUUUUGCAGAACGGAGAUCAGCUUUCUUUUAGCUCGGAUUUUGACGGUGGGGGUACCGGCUCUAAACGCUAACGCUGAAACCAGAACAGUGCUAUACUUAGUCCUCCACUGCUCACAGUGCAUCAAAAGUAACGGCGAUACCCCGUAUUAACAAUUACGGACCCAUUACCGGAAUACAGAUUCCACACGGACAAGAAUAAUGACCGUGAAGGAGAACAGAAGUGAACCGAACACGUGACGCGCCGCGUUCGAGCCCCUUUCUCACUUUUCUCAAGGUGAAUGAGAUGGACUGUGCAAGACAACGCCAAUAAAGAGGCACGCUGUGGAUUCACUCGA